CAUGAGAGCUGUGAGUUAGGUUUUGUUGGAGCAAAAUGAGGACUCCAGCCUGGGAGACAGCAUUUCUGAUAGCUCUGAGAAACUGCUCCAAAGAGGAACUGCUGCCUGACUUACAGUUUUGUUCUUUUAUCUCUGAAAACAUUUCAGUGUCUUGUUAGGGGAUGAGCACCUGCACAUCUGCAUUAUGUUUGUGGAUGCAUGCAGUAAGCCUCCUUCCAGAGGGCUCCGGACUUCUUCAGGGCCCUGCAAGAGGAGCAGACAAAAUCAUGAGCGGGAAUCUGCAUGGAAGCUGUCUCGCCACCUUUAUGAAAUGUCAAGCUUCAUCUCCCUUUGACAGAUUUCACCCAGUUUGCUUCAAGGAAAUGGGAAGAUAAGGAUUGUGGCCCCCUGGGACUCACCCGUGCAGAAGUACAGGUGCUGCUUCUCGUAGUUGAUGAAUUUGAUUUUGUUCCUGCCAUACUGAAUGAAGAGAGAAUAAAAC